GACGAACGCUGGCGGCGUGCCUAAUACAUGCAAGUCGAACGCCUUUUCUUUCAACGUAGCUUGCUACACCGAAAGAAAGUGGGUGGCGAACGGGUGAGUAACACGUGGGUAACCUGCCCAUCAGCGGGGGAUAACACCUGGAAAUAGGUGCUAAUACCGCAUAAUUCUAUUUACCGCAUGGUAGCUGGAUGAAAGGCGCUUUUGCGUCACUGAUGGAUGGACCGCCGGUGCAUUAGCUAGGUGGUGGGGUACAGGCCUACCAAGGCGACGAUCCGUAGCCGGUCUGAGAGGAGGAUCAGCGACACUGGAACUGAGACACGGUACAGACUCCUACGGGAGGCAGCAGUGGGGAAUAUUGGACAAAGGGCGCAAGCCUGAUCCAGCCAUACCGCGUGGGUGAAGAAGGCCUUCGGGUUGUAAAGCCCUUUUGUUGGGAAAGAAAAGCAGCAGGUUAAUACCCCGCUGUUCUGACGGUACCCAAAGAAUAAGCACCGGCUAACUUCGUG
rnacentral:rRNA from 1 species